AAAUAACUAGCUGGACUGGACUCGAGAUGACGGAGGAUCCAAAAAACUACCUGGACUAGACUCGAGACCACGCACAAUUUAGUCUAUGGCUGGGCCAGUUUCAUUUGAUGGUUUGCUAUGAGAAUUAUGAGUUUUAUGAAUCUAUUAUAUGUACGGUUUUGAAUAGUGUAAUUGAAUGCCAUGUUUUUUUAUGGUUGCAAUAGGCUAUUACCACGACCUACUUUUUGUUGUCACAUGUUUGCACAACGAAAAUUAUAGUGUUGCAAUAGAGCACUUUAUAUUGUCGCAAUAGCUUUGGCACCACAAUUUUUCCCCAUGAUGCAAUAACUGUGUGG
rnacentral:lncRNA from 1 species